AUCGGUGAGCCAGUGGUGGUGGCACGGUAUCCAAAACCGAAGUCCGCUGGUUCGACUCCAGCCACCGGUGCCA
rnacentral:tRNA from 2 species